GAUUAAGCCAUGCAUGUGUAAGUAUAAAUAGUUAACUUUGAAACUGCGAAUGGCUCUUUAUAUCAGUUAUAGUUUAUUUGAUGAAGAAUACUAAUUGGAUAACCGUAGUAAUUCUAGAGCUAAUACAUGUAUAAAGUCUUGUAGACUGCAUUUAUUAGAAUGAAAACCAUAGGUUUCGGCCUAUUCGUGAGUAAUAAUAACUAAUCAUAUCGUAUGCUUAAGUAACGAUGUGUCUUUCAAGUUUCUGCCCUAUCAGCUUUCGAUGGUAGUGUAUUGGACUACCAUG
rnacentral:rRNA from 1 species